AGUAUCAGGUUGUAGAUUGUUUGUAAUCCUGUAUUGCUGGGUAUAAAAAGGUCUUAUCAUUUGGAUAUGCUGGGCUGUAGACUGCAGGUAAUCCUGCACUACUGAUAGCUACAUACUGGUUAAAAAGGUAUACAGAUUUGGCCUGGCUAGAAGAAAACGUUCGAGGGCAGGAUUAUUUCAAAUGCAUGUCCUCGAUUUCUGCAAAUCCUUUAAGUACUGAUGCAACCAGGACAUCGGAUUGGGGGAAAGAAAUUUGGGCAGACUUAUUCCAUCUGUUACCGACAGAUUUACUACUGAGGAUAGGCUGAAAGAGAUGAUUGACUUCUUUGCCAAAUUUCCGGAGGCCGGAGCAGGAGCUGCUGCUCGGAAACAAGCCCUGGAAACUGUUUCCAAUAAUAUAAAAUGGUUAAAAGUUAACAAAGACAUUGUUGCAAAAUGGUUGAACAAGAGGAAAUGAUUUAAAAAAAUAUAUAUAAGUGCUCUUUAGUGUUGAAAGU